rnacentral:rRNA from 1 species
CGAACGGGUGAGUAACGCGUGAGUAACCUGCCCUGGAGUGGGGGACAACAGUUGGAAACGACUGCUAAUACCGCAUAAGCCCACGAUCCGGCAUCGGAUUGAGGGAAAAGGAUUUAUUCGCUUCAGGAUGGACUCGCAUCCAAUUAGCUAGUUGGUGAGGUAACGGCCCACCAAGGCGACGAUUGGUAGCCGGACUGAGAGGUUGAACGGCCACAUUGGGACUGAGACACGGCCCAG